UACGAAAGGGGCUAGCGUUGUUCGGAUUUACUGGGCGUAAAGGGCACGCAGGCGGUCUUGCCAGUCAGGGGUGAAAGCCCCGGGGCUCAACCUCGGAACUGCCUCUGAUACUGCAAGACUUGAGACUAGGAGAGGGUGGUGGAAUUCCCAGUGUAGAGGUGAAAUUCGUAGAUAUUGGGAGGAACACCAGAGGCGAAGGCGGCCACCUGGACUAGAUCUGACGCUCAGGUGCGAAAGCGUGGGGAGCAAACAGGAUUAGAUACCCGUGUAGU
rnacentral:rRNA from 1 species